rnacentral:tRNA from 1 species
GCGAGGGUGGCGGAAUGGCAGACGCGCACGUUUGAGGGGCGUGUGGGAGACCGUAGGGGUUCAAGUCCCCUUCUUCGCACCA